CGAAAGCCUGACGGAGCAACGCCGCGUGAGGGAUGAAGGCCUCUGGGCUGUAAACCUCUUUUCUCAAGGAAGAAGACCUGACGGUACUUGAGGAAUAAGCCACGGCUAAUUCCGUGCCAGCAGCCGCGGUAAUACGGGAGUGGCAAGCGUUAUCCGGAAUUAUUGGGCGUAAAGCGUCCGCAGGCGGCCCUGUAAGUCUGUCGUUAAAGCGUGGAGCUUAACUCCAUUUCAGCGAUGGAAACUGCGAGGCUUGAGUGUGGUAGGGGCAGAGGGAGUUCCCGGUGUAGCGGUGAAAUGCGUAGACAUCGGGAAGAACACCAGUGGCGAAGGUGCUCUGCUGGGCCAUAACUGACGCUCAUGGACGAAAGCCAGGGGAGCG
rnacentral:rRNA from 1 species